GAUCAUGGCUCAGGAUGAACGCUGGCGGCGUGCUUAACACAUGCAAGUCGAGCGAAGCGCUUGAGUUUGAUUCUUCGGAUGAAGACUUUUGUGACUGAGCGGGCGGACGGGUGAGUAACGCGUGGGUAACCUGCCUCAUACAGGGGGGAUAACAGUUAGAAAUGACUGCUAAUACCGCAUAAGACCACGGUACCGCAUGGUACAGUGGUAAAAACUCCGGUGGUAUGAGAUGGACCCGCG
rnacentral:rRNA from 1 species